rnacentral:sRNA from 1 species
CUCUUAGAGCCAGCCACCAUCAUAAUCAACUACUACAAUCGCAGGAUGCUUUCCCCAGCAGCUAAUAGCGCUGUUGUCUGUGGGUAGGGGGAAAACACCACCCUAACCCUGAAGAAUGCAUGACACAGUGCUAUUACUUUGAUGUGAAUAAGUCUGGAAAAUAGUCUCUUUCUACUGUGGUUUGCUUUAUAAAAUCCUUUCCUCUGUAUUUUCCUGAAACUAUGCUUUAUUCUGACUUAUGGGUUAGAGAAUUUUAGUGUAUUACCUGACUGCUUAACCGAUGGCUCUGAUGUGGUCAGUGACCUUGAACAGGAAGAGAUGAAAAUCCUGAGGGAAGUUCUUAGAAAAUCAAAAGAGGAAUAUGACCAGGAAGAAGAAAGGAAGAGGAAAAAACAGUUAUCAGAGGCUAAAACAGAAGAGCCCACAGUGCAUUCCAGUGAAGCUGCAAUAAUGAAUAAUUCCCAAGGGGAUGGUGAACAUUUUGCACACCCACCCUCAGAAGUUAAAGUGCAUUUUGCUAAUCAGUCAAUAGAACCUUUGGGAAGAAAAGUGGAAAAAUCUGAAACUUCCUCCCUCCCACAAAAAGGCCUGAAGAUUCCUGGCUUAGAGCACGCGAGCAUUGAAGGACCAAUAGCAAAUUUAUCAGUACUUGGAACAGAAGAACUUCGCCAACGAGAACACUAUCUCAAGCAGAAGAGAGAUAAGUUGAUG